CGUGACAAGCUUAUUUUCACACCAAUCAAAAAACAAGAACAAGUAUAUCUGUAGUUCAAAUUAAUUAGCUCUCUCUCAAUGGCAAUGAAAGUUGUUGUAGUGGUGUUCGUUCCAAUGCUUGUGAUGACAGAGCACAAUGCUAUGGCUAGUUCAAUAACAACGAUGAGGAGAUGUUUGGAGCUUGCAUGAAAAACUGUUCUAGCAACCAUUGCGCCAUUGGUGGCAAUAUUGCUCUAGAGAAAGCUUAAGAAAACGCAUUAAUUUGCUCCAAGAAAUUAUGGCCACAAAGUAUGUGUCUUAUAACACUAUGUUAUGUACUAAGCUACUAAAUACUUUUGUUGUUGUAAUUUUCUAAAUUACGUAUUUGUGUUGUGUAUUGAAUUUGUGAUUUUCUAAGUUAUGUAUUUGUGUUGUGUACUGAAUAAAAUUCUAGUGCUUCCUGUUAAUGCACUAGAGAAGUGUUAA